rnacentral:rRNA from 1 species
CAGCCGCCGCGGUAAUACGAAGGGUGCAAGCGUUAAUCGGAAUUACUGGGCGUAAAGCGCGCGUAGGUGGUUUGGUAAGAUGGAUGUGAAAUCCCCGGGCUCAACCUGGGAACUGCAUCCAUAACUGCCUGACUAGAGUACGGUAGAGGGUGGUGGAAUUUCCUGUGUAGCGGUGAAAUGCGUAGAUAUAGGAAGGAACACCAGUGGCGAAGGCGACCACCUGGACUGAUACUGACACUGAGGUGCGAAAGCGUGGGGAGCAAACAGGAUUAGAUACCCCUGUAGUCCCUGUCUCUUAUAA